GGCCUCGUAGCUAAGUUGGCUAGAGCGUUGGCUGUACGUUAACCUUCCCCUUGCUGGCGUGGGUUUGAAUCCAUCCGAGGCCA
rnacentral:tRNA from 1 species